rnacentral:rRNA from 2 species
AAAUUGAAGAGUUUGAUCAUGGCUCAGAUUGAACGCUGGCGGCAGGCCUAACACAUGCAAGUCGAACGGUAACAGGAAGCAGCUUGCUGCUUUGCUG